GCUCAGGAUGAACGCUAGCUACAGGCUUAACACAUGCAAGUCGAGGGGUAGCAGGGUAGCAAUACCGCUGACGACCGGCGCACGGGUGAGUAACACGUAUCCAACCUUCCCAUUACUCGGGGAUAGCCUUUCGAAAGAAAGAUUAAUACCCGAUAGUACUUUUUCGAGGCAUCUCGUAAAAAGUUAAAGAUUUAUUGGUAAUGGAUGGGGAUGCGUUCCAUUAGAUUGUUGGUGAGGUAACGGCUCACCAAGUCUUCGAUGGAUAGGGGUUCUGAGAGGAAGGUCCCCCACAUUGGUACUGAGACACGGACCAAACUCCUACGGGAGGCAGCAGUGAGGAAUAUUGGUCAAUGGGCGAGAGCCUGAACCAGCCAAG
rnacentral:rRNA from 1 species